rnacentral:rRNA from 1 species
UGGCGGCAGGCUUAACACAUGCAAGUCGAGCGGUAGCAGAUCUAGCUUGCUAGAUGCUGACGAGCGGCGGACGGGUGAGUAACGCGUAGGAACCUGCCCAGUAGUGGGGGACAGCCCGGGGGAAACUCGGAUUAAUACCGCAUACGCUCUACGGAGGAAAGAGGGGGCUUCGGCUCUCGCUAUUGGAUGGGCCUGCGUGAGAUUAGCUAGUUGGUGAGGUAAUGGCUCACCAAGGCGACGAUCUCUAGCUGGUCUGAGAGGAUGAUCAGCCACACUGGGACUGAGACACGGCCCAGACUCCUACGGGAGGCAGCAGUGGGGAAUAUUGCACAAUGGGCGCAAGCCUGAUGCAGCCAUGCCGCGUGUGUGAAGAAGGCUUUCGGGUUGUAAAGCACUUUCAGUGGGGAGGAAGGCCUCGUAGUUAAUAGCUGCGAGGAUUGACGUUACCCACAGAAGAAGCACCGGCUAACUCCGUG